AUGAACGCUAGCUACAGGCUUAACACAUGCAAGUCGAGGGGCAUCAGGAAGAAAGCUUGCUUUCUUUGCUGGCGACCGGCGCACGGGUGAGUAACACGUAUCCAACCUGCCCUUUACUCGGGGAUAGCCUUUCGAAAGAAAGAUUAAUACCCGAUGGCAUAAUGAUUCCGCAUGGUUUCAUUAUUAAAGGAUUCCGGUAAAGGAUGGGGAUGCGUUCCAUUAGGUUGUUGGUGAGGUAACGGCUCACCAAGCCUUCGAUGGAUAGGGGUUCUGAGAGGAAGGUCCCCCACAUUGGAACUGAGACACGGUCCAAACUCCUACGGGAGGCAGCAGUGAGGAAUAUUGGUCAAUGGGCGCUAGCCUGAACCAGCCAAGUAGCGUGAAGGAUGAAGGCUCUAUGGGUCGUAAACUUCUUUUAUAUAAGAAUAAAGUGCAGUAUGUAUACUGUUUUGUAUGUAUUAUAUGAAUAAGGAUCGGCUAACUCCGUGCCAGCAGCCGCGGUAAUACGGAGGAUCCGAGCGUUAUCCGGAUUUAUUGGGUUUAAAGGGAGCGUAGGUGGACUGGUAAGUCAGUUGUGAAAGUUUGCGGCUCAACCGUAAAAUUGCAGUUGAUACUGUCAGUCUGGAGUACAGUAGAGGUGGGCGGAAGUCGUGGUGUAGCGGUGAAAUGCUUAGAUAUCACGAAGAACUCCGAUUGCGAAGGCAGCUCACUGGACUGCAACUGACACUGAUGCUCGAAAGUGUGGGUAUCAAACAGGAUUAGAUACCCUGGUAGUCCACACAGUAAACGAUGAAUACUCGCUGUUUGCGAUAUACAGUAAGCGGCCAAGCGAAAGCAUUAAGUAUUCCACCUGGGGAGUACGCCGGCAACGGUGAAACUCAAAGGAAUUGACGGGGGCCCGCACAAGCGGAGGAACAUGUGGUUUAAUUCGAUGAUACGCGAGGAACCUUACCCGGGCUUAAAUUGCAGUGGAAUGAUGUGGAAACAUGUCAGUGAGCAAUCACCGCUGUGAAGGUGCUGCAUGGUUGUCGUCAGCUCGUGCCGUGAGGUGUCGGCUUAAGUGCCAUAACGAGCGCAACCCUUAUCUUUAGUUACUAACAGGUCAUGCUGAGGACUCUAGAGAGACUGCCGUCGUAAGAUGUGAGGAAGGUGGGGAUGACGUCAAAUCAGCACGGCCCUUACGUCCGGGGCUACACACGUGUUACAAUGGGGGGUACAGAAGGCAGCUAGCGGGUGACCGUAUGCUAAUCCCAAAAUCCUCUCUCAGUUCGGAUCGAAGUCUGCAACCCGACUUCGUGAAGCUGGAUUCGCUAGUAAUCGCGCAUCAGCCACGGCGCGGUGAAUACGUUCCCGGGCCUUGUACACACCGCCCGUCAAGCCAUGGGAGCCGGGGGUACCUGAAGUACGUAACCGCAAGGAUCGUCCUAGGGUAAAACUGGUGACUGGGGCU
rnacentral:rRNA from 1 species